CUCUCCCAUGCACCCUCUAAAGCGUUAAGUAAUUUGUGAAUGGUCCCUAAUCGCACCGGCUUCUGAGAAAAUGGACGCAUAAUUUCAAUAAAACGUCUAAUGGAAAUUGUGGAACCCUUCCAUACAAAAACGUUACGAGGGGGUGGGUUAGAGCUGAAUAUGGUCAAUUUUAGCGUAUGUAAUUUGUGAAUGAACCCUUAUGUAAUCACAUGGUAAUCACCAAUAUUUUUGUUUUCGUUUUUCAUUAUCCACUAAUGCGCUUGCAAUUGGUCUUCUACCUCACCUUAUAGUAUCUAUUCAUUGAUCAAAAACUGCGGAAAUGUCAAACAGCGCAACGUAAAUAAUAAUAUUCAUCAAUCAGAAAUGUGGCCAAUCAGUUUGAUAGAAGUUUAGAGAAUCCUUUCAAACCUGAGACUUCAAACCGUGCAACAAAUGCGAGGACGAAGUAAACAAAAUGCUAUAAACUACAAUAAAUAUCUCGCAUUUCUGUUGGUGAUUCCGAUGCAUCUAGGCCUGAGUAUAAUUGGUCAUGUAAACUUGUUUUCCGUUCCAAGCAAACUGAAUCCAUUGGAUCACGUUCUAGUGCCCUCUUAACUUGACUUCACAUCGCCAGAAAUCGCUUGGAUCGACGUGAAACUCAUUGGAUGAUCUCCGAAACCCAAAUUCAACAGCCAUACAAAAUUAAAUAAUAUUUGCUUUUGGCGAGUGUGUCGUAUACAAUCUAUUCGCACAAAACGCUGAUUCGAUACCAUGUCUUAUAUGUAUAUUGAUGUUUUAAAUAAAUCACACAUAAUACACCGUGCACCUUUUAUUAAUUUGAUUUUGAAUCACUACAUGUUUGAGUAACUACAUAAUCCCAAUUUCCAACCAAUUGUUUUUUCAUCUAAUUCGUUUCUGUUUUUCGCUAUU